AGUACGGUAGGAGGGGGAUGAAUCCGCGUGUAGCAGUAAAUGCGUAGAUAUGCAGGAGGAAACCCGAUGCGAAGCAAUCCCCUGACCUGUACUGACGCUCCUUGCACGAAAGGCGUGGGGAGCAAACAGGAUAGAUACGUGGUAGUCACGCCCUAAGCGAUGUCAACUGGUUGUUGGAGGGUUUCUUCUCAGUAAAGGAAGCUAACGCGUGAAGUUGNCCCCCUGGGGAGUACGGCCGCAAGGUUGAAACUCAAAGGAAUGACGGGGACCCGCACAAGCGGUGGAUGAUGUGGUUUAAUNGAUGCAACGCGAAAAACCUUACCUACCCUUGGACAUGUCAGAGAUCCCGCAGAGAUGUGGGAGUGCUCGAAAGAGAAUCUGAACACAGGUACUGCAUGACCGUCGUCAGCUAGUGUCGUGAGAUGUUGGGUUAAGUCCGGCAACGAGCGCAACCCUUGUCAUGAGUUGGUACGAAAGGGCACUCUAAUGAGACUGCCGGUGACAAACCGGAGGAAGGUGGGGAUGACGUCAAGUCCUCAUGGCCCUUAUAGGUGGGCUACACACGUCAUACAAUGGCUGGUACAGAGGGUUGCCAACCCGCGAGGGGGAGCCAAUCCCAUAAAACCAGUCGUAGUCCGGAUCGCAGUCUGCAACUCGACCGCGUGAAGUCGGAAUCGCUAGUAAUCGCGGAUCAGAAUGUCGCGGUGAAUACGUUCCCGGGUCUUGUACACACCGCCCGUCACACCAUGGGAGCGGGUUCUGCCAGAAGUAGUUAGCCUAACCGCAAGGAGGGCGAUUACCACGGCAGGGUUCGUGACUGGGGUGAAGUCGUAACAAGGUAACC
rnacentral:rRNA from 1 species